rnacentral:rRNA from 1 species
UUUCCGGAUUUACUGGGUGUAAAGGGUGCGUAGGCGGCUUUGCAAGUCAGAUGUGAAAUCUAUGGGCUCAACCCAUAAACUGCAUUUGAAACUGUAGAGCUUGAGUGAAGUAGAGGCAGGCGGAAUUCCCCGUGUAGCGGUGAAAUGCGUAGAGAUGGGGAGGAACACCAGUGGCGAAGGCGGCCUGCUGGGCUUUAACUGACGCUGAGGCACGAAAGCGUGGGUAGCAAACAGGAUUAGAUACCCUGGUAGUCCACGCUGUAAACGAUGAUUACUAGGUGUGGGGGGUCUGACCCCUUCCGUGCCGGAGUUAACACAAUAAGUAAUCCACCUGGGGAGUACGGCCGCAAGUUGAAACUCAAAGGAAUGGACGGGGGCCCGCCCAAGCAGUGGAGUAUGUGGUUUAA